GCCUGGCCCUAAACCUCAAUAGUUAAAAUAACAAAACUAUUCGCCAGAAUACUACAAGCAACAGCUUGAAACUCAAAGGACUUGGCGGUGCUUCAUACCCCCUAGAGGAGCCUGUUCUAUAAUCGAUAAACCCCGAUCCACCCCACCCUCUCUUGCUUAGUCUAUAUACCGCCAUCUUCAGCAAACCCUGAUGAAGGCUACGAAGUGAGCGCAAAUGCCCUUCCCCGCAAAAACGUUAGGUCAAGGUGUAACCUAUGAGACGGUAAAAAUGGGCUACAUUUUCUACUUCAGAAAACCCCACGAUAGCUCUUAUGAAAUCUAGGAGCCCAAGGAGGAUUUAGCAGUAAAUUAAGAAUAGAGUGCUUAAUUGAACUAGGCCAUAAAGCACGC
rnacentral:rRNA from 1 species